rnacentral:rRNA from 1 species
UACGUAGGGGGCGAGCGUUGUCCGAAGUUACUGGGCGUAAAGAGCGCGUAGGCGGGCUUCUAAGUGAGAGGUGAAAGGUUCGGGCUCAACCCGGAGAGUGCCUUUCAUACUGGGAGCCUUGAGUGCGGGAGAGGCAAGUGGAAUGGUCGGUGUAGCGGUGAAAUGCGUAGAUAUUCGCAAGAACACCAGUGGCGAAGGCGGCCAACUGGACCAACACUGACGCUGAGGCGCGAAAGCGUGGGGAGCAAACAGG